CGGCCGGGCUGGGCGGGCGGCGACCGCGGAUGAGGUACAGGUGCCUCGCGGCGCAGCCGGGUUGCCUUCCAGCCUGGUCCGCCUCGCGACCAGGGCCCGCGCCCCCUCCCACCUCGCACACCGGCGUCUCUCCCGCCCAGCCAAAUGCAGGCCGCCGCUCUCCCUGAGGAGAUCCGUUGGCUCCUGGAAGAUGCUGAAGAGUUUCUGGCAGAAGGUUUGCGGAAUGAGAACCUCAGCGCUGUUGCAAGGGAUCACAGAGACCAUAUUCUACGGGGCUUUCAGCAAAUCAAAGCCAGGUACUAUUGGGAUUUUCAGCCCCAAGGAGGAGACCUUGGACAGGACAGCUCUGAUGAUAAUCACAGUGGGACUCUUGGCCUGUCCCUCACAUCCGAUGCACACUUUUUGUCAGAUUAUCAGGACGAGGGAAUGGAAGACAUCGUAAAAGGAGCUCAAGAACUUGAUAACAUAAUCAAGCAAGGAUACUUGGAGAAGAAAAGCAAAGAUCAUAGUUUCUUUGGAUCGGAGUGGCAGAAGCGAUGGUGUGUUGUCAGCAGAGGUCUCUUCUACUACUAUGCUAAUGAGAAGAGCAAGCAGCCCAAAGGGACCUUCCUCAUUAAGGGCUACAGUGUUCAGAUGGCCCCCCACCUGCGAAGAGAUUCCAAGAAAGAAUCCUGCUUUGAACUGACCUCCCAGGAUAGGCGCAGCUAUGAGUUUACAGCUACUAGUCCAGCAGAAGCCAGAGACUGGGUGGAUCAAAUAAGUUUCUUGUUAAAGGAUCUGAGCUCCUUAACCAUUCCAUAUGAAGAAGACGAGGAGGAAGAAGAAAAAGAAGAGACAUAUGAUGAUAUUGAUGGUUUUGACUCCCCAAGUUCUGGUUCCCAGUGCAGACCCACUAUCUUGCCUGGGAGUGUGGGGAUAAAAGAGCCUACAGAGGAGAAAGAAGAAGAAGAUAUUUAUGAAGUCUUGCCAGGUAAAUGUGCCUUGUGGAGGAUAUUUAACAUUGACGGUUCUGCUAAUCCUCCCUUUUGGGAUGGGACCCACACAAGCCCUCACUGUCUCUAUAGGGAAAGCCAUAUGAAGAGCAUGAUCUGGAAGAGGAUGAGAGUGGCACUCGACGAAAAGGAGCAGACUAUGCCAGUUACUACCAGGGCCUAUGGGAUUGCCAUGGUGACCAGCCAGAUGAACUGUCCUUCCAACGGGGUGACCUCAUCCGCAUUCUGAGCAAGGAGUAUAACAUGUAUGGCUGGUGGGUGGGAGAACUGAACAGCCUCAUUGGGAUUGUUCCGAAGGAGUAUCUCACCACUGCCUUUGAAGUGGAAGAAAGAUGAAACCCAGGAAAUAUAUUCUUCCCCUCUACUGCCUUUAUGAGGAAACUGAUCAUCAAAAGUUCCCACUCCCUAUUUCUGCCCCCCCACCAACGCCUUGGACUCCUCCCUUUGCUGAAGAGACCCAAGUCUCUGACACCUCAGAGUGACCGUAAGCUACCAGAAAGACAAGUGGGAAGAGGUACAUUCAUCAAACCUGUUACUAAACCAGCCUAGUCAUAGCUCAUCCCCAUCUCUAAAUGUGUCCACACAUUCACAUCUGCCUUUUCCACAAGCUUUUCACAAAGAAGGUGAGAGAAGGAAAUCUUGGGAGGAGGACAUUGCUGGUUGUUCUGGCUGGUUUGAAAAGCACAAAUAAACCUGAAAUGUGUUUCCUUGCCA